CAGUCGCCACGGGAAUACGUAGGGUGCAAGCGUUAAUCGGAAUUACUGGGCGUAAAGCGUGCGCAGGCGGUUAUAUAAGACAGAUGUGAAAUCCCCGGGCUCAACCUGGGAACUGCAUUUGUGACUGUAUAGCUAGAGUACGGCAGAGGGGGAUGGAAUUCCGCGUGUAGCAGUGAAAUGCGUAGAUAUGCGGAGGAACACCGAUGGUGAAGGCAAUCCCCUGGGCCUGUACUGACGCUCAUGCACGAAAGCGUGGGGAGCAAACAGGAUUAGAUACCCCCGUAGUCCCUGUCUCUUAUAC
rnacentral:rRNA from 1 species